rnacentral:rRNA from 2 species
GCCUGCGGAGGGAUCAUUACUGAGUUUACGCUCUAUAACCCUUUGUGAACAUACCUAUAACUGUUGCUUCGGCGGGUAGGGUCUCCGUGACCCUCCCGGCCUCCCGCCCCCGGGCGGGUCGGCGCCCGCCGGAGGAUAACCAAACUCUGAUUUAACGACGUUUCUUCUGAGUGGUACAAGCAAAUAAUCAAAACUUUUAACAACGGAUCUCUUGGUUCUGGCAUCGAUGAAGAACGCAGCGAAAUGCGAUAAGUAAUGUGAAUUGCAGAAUUCAGUGAAUCAUCGAAUCUUUGAACGCACAUUGCGCCCGCCAGCAUUCUGGCGGGCAUGCCUGUUCGAGCGUCAUUUCAACCCUCAAGCUCUGCUUGGUGUUGGGGCCCUACAGCUGAUGUAGGCCCUCAAAGGUAGUGGCGGACCCUCCCGGAGCCUCCUUUGCGUAGUAACUUUACGUCUCGCACUGGGAUCCGGAGGGACUCUUGCCGUAAAACCCCCAAUUUUCCAAAGGUUGACCUCGGAUCAGGUAGGAAUACCCGCUGAACUUAAGCAUAUCAAA